GAAAUGCGAUACUUGGUGUGAAUUGCAGAAUCCCGUGAACCAUCGAGUCUUUGAACGCAAGUUGCGCCCGAAGCCACUAGGCCGAGGGCACGUCUGCCUGGGUGUCACGCAACGUCGCCAWCGCCCGGUCCUCCGGGCGCGGCGGAUGAUGGCCUCCCG
rnacentral:rRNA from 1 species